rnacentral:sRNA from 1 species
CACCUCAGCAGGAGCUUGGCCGUCGAC